GAUGUUCUGAUGUACUAGAACGCACCUUGGACGGUCCAGAUUAGCGCAGCUCCUCCGUGAAGGAACGCCAUGCUUGCCUCCUCCUCCUGUUCUCCUCCUCCCUUGAACUUGCUCGCCACCGUCUCCACUACUACCAAAACCCAAACCCUAACCCUGACCCGGACUCGGAUUCAAACCCGAACCCGAUCCAUCUCUCAAUCCGAUCCGCUUCGGUACUGCUCGUGCGGGAGGAGGCAUCUCUUGGCAGCGAGCCUCCUGCUCCCCAUUCUUCCCUCCAGUUCCCAGGCAGCGGAAAUUACGAGCUCACCCUCUCAUAUCCCCACGUGUGUGAUCGACAAGUUUUAUCCUCCAAAAGCAGACUGGUAUGAGGAAUUCUAUGCACAGGCCACCGAUAUGGGAAUGAUCUCCUAUGAAGCUGAGAUUGCAGGUUACAAAAAAGAACUCUUUGGCCGUCUUGCAGUUUCAGGGAAGAGUAAGAACAUUGUAGAGCUUGGCGUAGGUACUGGUGCUAAUUUCAAGUACUAUGCGAGUGCUGCUGAUUUCAAUGUUAUCGGGGUAGACCCUAAUAAAAAGAUGGAGAAACACGCACGAGCAGCAGCAGUAGCUGCUGGAUUGCCACCAACAAAUUUUACAUUUAUCCGAGGGGUUGGAGAAGCCUUGCCUAUUGGUGAUAAUUCCAUGGAUGCAGUUAUUGGUACUCUUGUACUGUGUUCAGUGAAAGAUGUUGAUAUAUCUUUGAAAGGUCAGAUGGUCUGGAGUAUUAAAUCAAAAGAUCAGUCAAACUGUCUGAUGGAGAAGCCUUGAUUCUAUGAAGAAGUAUGAGUUCACGUGAUCCUAUCCUCUAUGGCGUAAAGUCAUGUUUCUAGCUAACAGCUCUAGUUUUCAUAGUUUAGAACUAUCUAGAAUCCUUGGUGAUGCCCCAGCUCAAUGGAAGAGACCAAUGUUCUUAUGCUAAAGAAAUGUGGUCACCAGAGCAAUGUGCUCUAAACUUUUUGAACAAUCUAAAAUCCUUGGUGAUGCCCCAGCUCAAUGGAAGAGACCAAUGUUCUUAUGCCAAGGAAAUCUGGUCACCAGAGCAAUGUGCUUUAAACUGAUUUUGUAACGAGGAAGACGAUUGGUACAGGACGUGAGCGAAACGGUCUGUAUGAGCUAGAGUUGGCUUCGGAUCAUGUGGCUUGUACCAGUACUUCAUCUGCACUUGAUUACCACUGUCGGUUUGGUCAUCCAUCUCUACCUGUACUCAAAAUGAUUAUGCCCUCUUUAAAGAGUAUUUCCACCUUAGAUUGUGAAUCGUGUCAGUUUGGAAAACACCAUCGUGUGUCAUUUCCUAAUCGAGUCAAUAACCGAGCUACUAAGCCAUUUGAUUUGGUUCAUUCUGAUGUAUUGGGUCCAUGUCCAAUAACUUCAAAAAUAAGAUUUAAAUAUUUUGUUAGCUUUGUAGAUGAUUUUUCACAUGUUACAUGGAUUUAUCUUUUGAAAUCUCGGUCUGAAGUGUUUUCUAUUUUCAAAAUAUUUUACUUAGAAAUCCAGACUCAGUGCAAUACCUAUAUUAAAACCUUACGCUCAGAUAACGCAAAAGAAUAUUUGGAAACCCUAUUUGUCAAUUUUCUUGCUCAUCAUGGUAUUUUACAUCAAUCCUCUUGCGUUUACACUCCUCAACAAAAUGAGGUUGUUGAACGUAAGAAUAGACAUCUUCUUGAUACUGCUCGGUCCUUAUUAUUUCAUCGACAUGUUCCAAAAGAAUUUUGGGGGGAAGCUGUUUUAACUGCCUGCUAUUUAAUUAAUCGAAUGCCAUCCUUUGUAUUAUACAAUAAGAUUCCCUACAGUGUCUUAUAUUCCACUUCUGAUCUAUACCUUACCCCUAAAUUUUUUUGGCUCUCUAUGCUUUGUUUAUAACCAAAGUCCUACGAAAACUAAACUUGAUCAUCGAUCAAUCAAAGGUAUUUUUCUUGGCUAUUCUCGAACUCAAAAAGGUUACAAAUAUUUCUGUCCCUCUCUUAACCGCUAUCUCACCUCUGCUGACGUUACCUUCUUUGAACACCUACCUGGUCACUCUUCAUCUCCCCCUUCAUCUAUUGAUGACUAUGACUACCUGCUCCUACAUGAUACCUUCAUACCUAAUGGUAUUGUGCCACUAAUGAACGAUACUGGUAAGAACCCACUGAGAUUUCAGGAACCAUUACAGGUCUAUACACGUCGCACCACUCAUGCUCCUAUGCCAACGCCAGCCUUGGAAUUCAAGUCCUGUGCUUAGCUCUAGUCCUCUCGCUCCUUCUGAUUUAGAUCUUGAUCGCCCUAUUGUUCUUCGUAAGGGUAAACGGUCUUGUACUCAUCAUCCUGUCUCUAAUUUUGUUUCUUACUCUUAUCUCUCUUCUUCUUUUUGAUCUUUUAUUUCUUCUUUGGACUCAUUCGAUUCCCAGAAAUGUGUUAGAAGCUCUAUCUAUUCCAGGUUGGACUCAGGCAAUGCAGGAAGAAAUGACUGCCCUUACUAAAAAUGAGACAUGAGAUUUGGUUCCUUUACCACCUGGCAAAAUCGCAGUUGGCUGCAAAUGGGUGUAUAUUAUUAAGCUCAAUCCUGAUGGGUCUCUUGCUAGAUUAAAAGCUCAUUUGGUAGCAAAGGGUUUCUCACGGGUUUAUGGCUUGGACUAUGUAGAUACCUUCUCUCCUGUGGACAAAAUGACUUUUGUUUGCAUUUUCAUAUUUUUGGCUGCAAUCCAUCACUGGCCUCUUCAUCAGCUAGAUAUUAAAAAUGCUUUCCUUCAUGACAUUUUAGAAGAAGUCUAUAUGGAGUAACCGCCAGGCUUUGUUGUUCAGGGGGGGUCUACGAAAGUCUGCAGAUUAAAGAAAUCACUAUAUGGCUUGAAACAGUUUUCUCGUGCCUGGUUUGAUCGUUUUGCCUCCGUACUUCGAGAGUUUGGCCUCAGUCGUGCAGAAAAAGAUCAUUCUGUCUUCUGGCCGAUGCACGAUGGCAAAAUGAUACUACUAGUUGUGUAUGUGGAUGAUAUUGUGAUCACAUGGGAUGAUGCACAUGGUAUGGAUAGCCUGAAGAAAUAUCUGUAGACGCACUUUCAAACUAAGGACAUUGGUUCUCUUAAGUACUUCCUAGAUAUAGAAGUGACCCGAUCAAAGAAGGGUAUUUUACUGUCAUAAAGGAAAUACGUUCUUGAUAUGCUAUCAGAAGCUGGAAUGUUGGGAUGUAGGAGUAUUGACUCUCCAAUGGAUGUGAACACAAAACUGCUACCAGACCAGGGGGAGCUCCUUGAGGAUGUGGGGGAGAUACAGGAGAUUGGUGUGCAAAUUAAACUAUUUGACGGUAAUCAGACCUGACAUCACAUUUGCUGUCAGUGUAGUAAGCCAAUUUCUAUCAGCACCGAGAACUACUCAUUUUGAUGUCGUAAUGCGGAUUUUGAGAUAUUUAAAGAAAGCUCCUAGAAGAGGACUUCUCUACACAGACCAGAGACACAUAAAGGUGACAGGCUUUUCUGAUACAGAUUGGGCUGGGUGUCCUUCUGAUAGAAGAUCGACCACAUGUUAUUGUGUCUUUCUUGGAGGAAAUCUUAUAUCAUGGAAGAAUAAGAAGCAAAGUAAAGUAUUCCGAUCAAGUGCAGAGUUAGAAUAUAAGGCCAUAACGAAUGUAACAUUAGAAAUGAUAUGGAUCAGAGAUUUACUGAUAGAAAUUAAACUCUUCCUAAAUGUCCUAUGAGCUUAUAUGGAGACAAUUAGGCGGCAAUCCAUAUUGCUGAGAAUUUUGUAUUUCAUGUGAGAACCAAGCAUAUUGAAGUUGAUUGCCAUAUAAUUUGUGAGAAACUUAUGGAGAAGAUCAUUGAAGUAAAACAUGUGUCAACGGGAUAUCAGCUAGCUGAUAUUUUUACUAAACCACUAGGUAAAAUACGAAUAGAUUUUAUUUGUGACAAACUGGGCAUGUAUGAUGUAUACGCUCUAGUUUGAGGGAGAGUGUUAAGAGACUAUUGGGUUUAGUCCCACAUCUGUUAAGGACAUAACUGUGCUAUCAUUGUAUUAAAAUAAAUAGAUGAGGAGAGGCUACAAAGCAAUGAUCUCCUUUUAUCUAAUUCCUCUCUGUACUAUUUAACACCAUUCAACUCCCUUACUAUAUGUGCAUGCUUUUUUUGAUCGCUUGAUUUACCACGAAUCUCUCAAGAGUUAUUUAUAGAGUUUUCCAUUAUCUCCUACUUGGAUUAUUAAAUCCUAAUCCUCUUUCAAUUGCAUUCAAUCCUAAUUGAAAUGAUAUUUUCCAUUAAAAGCCAAAUCUAAAUCUAAGUCGAAAUAGCAUUAGCUGAUUAUAAAGAUAAAUCCUGACAAUCUCGCCUUAAACUUGUUUGAAGUUAGUUUUGAAAAUUGAUUGUUCCUUCUUUGCAACAUUUUGCAUUAUAAGUUGUCCUUUGUAGAGAUACAUGACAAAGGACUCUUACCUUCUACUCACUCUCCGAAGGUCUCAAUAGGAACUACCGUUGCUUUUUGAUUGAUGCCAAGUCCUCUCCUGACUUGACACCAAACCCAGUUAAUGAUUCCUUUCUUACAACAAUUCAAGGUUGGUUCUGAGCCUAUUGUAGGCUUUAACACAACUCUACCUGAUAUUGAAUCCCUAUAUAAAAUUCCUUUAGGAAUCCAAGGUUGGUGCGAACUUGUCUUCCUCGUGGCCAAAUACCCCAUUGAAGAUGAAGCUCCACCUUAAAUAUUGCUUCCCUCAACAACAUGUAGAAACAAUCUCCACACUUCUUUUUAUCUACGAUGACAUUCAUUCCUCGAUCUAUGGUGGUGUUCGAAUCAAGCACCCCUAAUGAUAUUAGACUAUGAUGACUUUUUAAAAUAACCGAACAUCUUCCAAAGCAAGCAUGUCCCCACCUCUUACCACUCCUCUUCCCAGUUCCCACAACCUUGCACUUUGUGCCAUUUGCCAUGAAAACAAUCUCUUUGACUCCCCAUGUCAAGGAAUAAAAUAUGUUAUUCUGAACCGGAAUCUAAUACCUAAGAGCCGUAAUAAGUGUUCUUAUUGGAAAUCAUUAACACAUCUGCUUGUUUUUUCCCCUAACAUCAGAGUCCAUCAAAACUUUAGUUUGUUCACCUUGCUCAUACCAUCUGCAUAAGAUGAAUGACCCGUAGCCCUAUCAUGUGCCUUUUGAUUCUUCAACUACAUGUGCCUUUGCAAACAAUCCUUCUUAAAAUGACCCUUUCCUUGACAAAAAGUGAAAUUUUUUGGCAUUUGGCUUCAUCCUAUUUAAUACUUAUUCUCGCUUCCAUUUGCCGUCAAUCUCCUAUCUGAUUUGUUCCCAAUAUCUGAAUUUCUCUAAAGUUCUUAAGUUAAAAGCUUUGCUUUUACCUAUCUAUGGUUAGUCUCCUUACUUAUAGGCAAUAAUGCAAUCAAAAUUUUAUAACUGUUGGGGAUGAGAAUGCUAGAGAAUUGUCGCUCUAUCAUCAUCUACCAGCUCCACUGCAGUCACUACUAACUCGUGUAUGAUCCUGUUGAGGAGGUUCAAAUGCUCCGAAAUUGUUGUACCUUCCUCAUGUGCAAUCUGUAUGAUUGUUGCUUAUCAUAAAACUUGGUGGAUAGGUUCUUAGUUAUGUGCAGUGAUUUGAGCUUUUUCUCUAGACCUAUUAUCGUUUCCUUUAUCAGAUAGGGAGCUCCACUGCAGUCACUACUAACUCAGGUAUGAUCCUGUUGAGGAGGUUCAAAUGCUCCGAAAUUGUUGUACCUUCCUCAUGUGCAAUCUGUAUGAUUGUUGCUUAUCAUAAAACUUGGUGGAUAGGUUCUUAGUUAUGUGUAGUGAUUUGAGCUUUUUCUCUAGACCUAUUAUCGUUUCCUUUAUCAGAUAGGGAUAGUUGAAUCAAGUUGCGUACAAUAUUAAUCAAUUUAACCAAUCAUAUUGUUUCAUUUUUUCUGGCUUUGGAUCUUUUUUUUUCUAGCGGGGCUCGGCCUAGAUCUGACGAAGUCUCCAUUCUUUUUAGUUGAAGUUAUAAAUUUAUCUUUCCGUUGAAUUUCUCAACCUCAACCUUCAUCCUAGAGUAUUCUUCCUUUGUCAUGUGACUAGAUUAUUUCACUUUCAAAAUGAGCUCUAAUGCUAACUUAUCUUAUUUUGAUACCAAUUGUUGUGAAAUUGGUCAAGAUGUAGAAGUGUAACACGAUCUAUCAAUUAGAUCUAUCCCGUCAAAAGAGACUAUCAAUCCAGCAGUAAAGAGCAAACUCGAUGAGCAAAUCUGAAACAGGCCGAAUUAAACAUCGAUAAUUUUGCAGAGAAUAGAAUCUAACACAAAAAUAGCGAUUUAACUUGGUUCGGCCUACGUCUAUGUCCACGGGAAGAGAAAAGAGUCGACUUUAUUACUAGGUAUUACAAGAUGUCUUUCUUGAUUUCACAAGAGUCCUCUUCUUGAUCUCCCAAAAGGCGUACUAAACAUUAGGAUUACAACUUUGUUUCUUCUCUACACCCAGUUGAACCUCCCUUACAAUUAUGUAAACUUUGGAUAGCUUGAUUUACCAUGAAGCUCCCCAGCGGUAUUUAAGGAGUUUUAUUCCCUAGAUUGAACUCAUGUAGGAUUCGUUCUUUAGCUUGGAUUAUCAAAUUCCAAUCUUCUUUUAAUUGGAAUUCUAUUUGUUUCUUUGCAAUCGAAGUCAAAUCUCAAUCAAAGUUCAAAUAGGGUUAGCUGAAUACAAGGAUAAAUGCUGACAAUUCAUAUCCUAUAUCCUCAUGUUCACAUAUCAUGGACGUACAUAUGCAAGCCAAAGAAGGGAGAAGAAAGCCAAAGCCCAAGGUACAUGGUCAUUGCUAUAACUUUACGUUCACCAACUGUAUCUCUUGUUCAUUUUGUUCCCUUCUCCUUUAAUUUAUGGUUAAAGCCCAGAGAAAUAUAGCUGUAUGGACCUCUAGUAAACCCAGUUAAGUGAUUAGGUCCAGGUAAGGUUGAUACGAGUCGCCGUGCGAGCACCUUUGAUCGCGAAAUUAUCAAAUGUGGGUUGAGAAGAGAAUGACAGAAACACAAGAACAAUUCAGUAUGUGGCGAAGA